CGCUAGCGGCAGGCUUAACACAUGCAAGUCGAACGGUAACAUAGAAGAGCUUGCUUUUCUGAUGACGAGUGGCGCACGGGUGAGUAACGCGUAUACAAUUUACCUAUAACAGGGGUAUAGCUCGAAGAAAUUUGAAUUAAUCCCCCAUGGUAUAUAUGAUUGGCAUCAAUUAUAUAUUAAAGUUUCGGCGGUGAUAGAUAAGUAUGCGUCCUAUUAGUUAGUUGGUAAGGUAACGGCUUACCAAGGCGACGAUAGGUAGGGGUCCUGAGAGGGAGAUCCCCCACACUGGUACUGAGACACGGACCAGACUCCUACGGGAGGCAGCAGUGAGGAAUAUUGGACAAUGGAGGCAACUCUGAUCCAGCCAUGCCGCGUGCAGGAAGACUGCCCUAUGGGUUGUAAACUGCUUUUAUACAGGAAGAAUAAUGAGUACGUGUACUCAGAUGACGGUACUGUAAGAAUAAGCAUCGGCUAACUCCGUGCCAGCAGCCGCGGUAAUACGGAGGAUGCAAGCGUUAUCCGGAAUCAUUGGGUUUAAAGGGUCCGUAGGCGGGUAAAUAAGUCAGUGGUGAAAGUCUGUCGCUUAACGAUAGAAUUGCCAUUGAUACUGUUUAUCUAGAGUUAUUAUGAAGUGGUUAGAAUGGGUAGUGUAGCGGUGAAAUGCAUAGAUAUUACUCAGAAUACCGAUUGCGAAGGCAGAUCACUAAUAAUAUACUGACGCUGAUGGACGAAAGCGUAUGUAGCGAACAGGAUUAGAUACCCUGGUAGUCUACGCAGUAAACGAUGGUCACUAGCUGUUCGGAUCGAUUAAGAUUUGAGUGGUUAAGCGAAAGUGAUAAGUGACCCACCUGGGGAGUACGUUCGCAAGAAUGAAACUCAAAGGAAUUGACGGGGCCCGCACAAGCGGUGGAGCAUGUGGUUUAAUUCGAUGAUACGCGAGGAACCUUACCAGGGCUUAAAUGUAGAGUGACGUAUUUGGAAACAGAUAU
rnacentral:rRNA from 1 species